GACGACGCUGGCGGCGUGCCUAACACAUGCAAGUCGAGCGGAGUCGAUCGACGGAAGCCUUCGGGCGGAAGAUGGUUGACUUAGCGGCGGAUGGGUGAGUAACGCGUGGGCAACCUGCCUCGAAGACCGGGAUAACAGCCCGAAAGGGCUGCUAAUACCGGAUGUGGUCAAGGAUCCGCAUGGAUUUUGAUUAAAGGGGAAACCCGUUUCGAGAUGGGCCCGCGUCCUAUCAGCUAGUUGGUGAGGUAAAAGCUCACCAAGGCGACGACGGGUAGCCGGCCUGAGAGGGUGACCGGCCACACUGGAACUGAGACACGGUCCAGACUCCUACGGGGGGCAGCAGUGGGGAAUCUUCCACAAUGGGCGCAAGCCUGAUGGAGCGACGCCGCGUGAGCGAAGAAGGCCUUCGGGUUGUAAAGCUCUGUCUGGAGGGACGAAGGAAGUGACGGUACCUCCGGAGGAAGCCACGGCUAACUACGUG
rnacentral:rRNA from 1 species